rnacentral:rRNA from 1 species
UACAGAGGUCUCAAGCGUUGUUCGGAUUCAUUGGGCGUAAAGGGUGCGUAGGCGGCGCGGUAAGUCGGGGGUGAAAUCUCGGAGCUUAACCUGGGAACUGCAUUUGUGACUGCACGGCUGGAGUGCGGCAGAGGGGGAUGGAAUUCCGCGUGUAGCAGUGAAAUGCGUAGAUAUGCGGAGGAACACCGAUGGCGAAGGCAAUCCCCUGGGCCUGCACUGACGCUGAGGGACGAAAGCUAGGGGAGCAAACAGG